AUGAGGGCGAUGCCCGGGGAGCCGGGGGACGCCCGGGCCAGCGGGUCCGGCCCGGGGGGGGGAUGCUCAGCCGGGGCCCGGCGGGGAGGCUGCGGCGCUCGCACCCGCCGCUCCGUGCGCGCCCCUUCCCCGCGGGACCCGGCCACGCGUGUCGGUGCCGGCCCGGGGACCUCCCGCCACGCUCCCAGGUUCCAGAGCCAGGGAAUGGUGACGCAGCUUGGAUCCGAUGGCUGCGGUGCUGCCGACUUGCCAGCUUUCAUUCCAAGCUUCCUCCCCGCCUGCGAUCACAGGAUCUGCUGUCAGCACCAGGGCACAGCACUGCCUUCUCAGACACUAUGUAAAAAGUAAAAUAAACCCUCUAAUCCAGGGUCUGUGUUUGAUAAGGAGAAAUUGCACAGCUCCGCUGGUGGCAGGGGCAGAGGAGCCAGCCCUGUGCUCGGCGCAGAGGCUCGUCGUCCCUUCGGACCAAAGUGCCACGGGGGAGCAGCCAGCCCUGCAUCUCCGUGUCCUCUUUGGCCCAGAUCUCCUCAGCCCCUGGAGGUUACGUGGCUGCUUUCAUCUGAGGAGCAUUUCCAGGGCAGCCAAGUCCCUGGCCAGCCGAGGAGGACGGGACCGCUCACUGAGAGCAGGCAGCGGCUGGGCUGUGGGCUGGCGGAGGGGCCGGUGCCCGGGCUGGGCUCAGCACGGUGCUGCCGGCAGAAGCGUUGCCCUGGGGAAGGGGGUGGCCCAGCAGCGGUGGGUGGCCUGGCGUGGGGCUGCGAGGAGGGGGAGCGCAGUCGUUUGCUUCCUCGUCAGGCGGCCGAGAGCAGCAGAAACUCCAUGGAGGUCUUGCCCUGUGGUUCUGGGUCUGGGCGGGUGCAGGGGCUCCACCUGCCUAGGAGGGGAGAUGCUGCUGUGAGUUAUUCCCAGAGCGGGGCUUUGCCAUGUGUCUCCUCUCCUCCAGCGAUGGGCUGCCUGCUUCUCCCCUGCUCGAGACGGGACCCAGCAAAGCCAUGGGCUGCUUCCCGGCAGCAGCGCAGCCAAGAUGCGGCUCCUCUCCCCGCAGUUGCCACCCCCAUGCUACAGCCCCACUAGAAGGAAAGCUCUCCCGCCUCUCCAGGCUCGCUGCUUUUAGGGAAACCUGUGGGAACCUCCUCGCCCUAAGACCAGUCAAUUGGCUGAAAUAGGCUGAAAGGCCCUGGGCGGGCACUGACGCACAGGCAGAUGCUGCCCCGUGCAUGCACGCGUUGCUUUUCUAGGAAGCGGGCUAAAAAUAUUGACCUAGGCUGUGCGGUGAAAGACUGGGCAGAUUCUCAGCUACUGGAAGCCCGAGCGAUUUACAGCCUGUAGCCCGUGCACGUUCCUGGGGCUGCGCUGGAGCAGGGAUGAUCCCGGCAUGCAGCGGCCAGGGCACGUCUCCGUGGGGCGGAAGAGCAGGGAGGCUGCAGGUAUCCCCCUUCUCCAGUGCUGCUGCGGGGGUUUGCCUCUCUUAUUCUUGCCGUUUUUUUAGGUUACUCUCUGCAUUUGGCCAGUGCAUCAGCAGGACGUGGGGAAGGGAGGGCGUGCAGCACGGUGGGAGUGAGACCCAGGGACGACUCGGCGGGUGCCAGCACAGCGGGGUCCUGUGGGGACCCGCGGCACAAGCUGCAGUAUCGGAAAUUUCCCAAACAAAAUUUCAUGCACUAAAUCUCAGGGCUGCAAUUCUGCUGAGACCUGGCUUUAUAAUUGGAUCUGUCAGAAACCCGUCACACUUAAUGCGCAGCUGCCAACACGCCACUCCUCACCGCGCCCCACAGCCAGUGCCGGCUCUGCCCCUCUCCCUGCCCCUCGGCGGGCAGAGCCCUGCGGGCAGCGCGGGGUCCCCAGCCCAGCUGUGCUGCCCGGCCAGGAAAGCCGUGUCCUGAUGUGCCCAUCGCCCCAGCCCACCGCAGAAGCAUCCCCAACUGCUGCUGCCCAGCCCAGUGCUGGGAACGGCUCUGACGGGAGCGCUGCUCGUCCCACCCAUUCCAGACACAACCCCUUGGCAUUCAACAGGCCAACAGCUCUCCCCUCCCAUGCAGAGCAGUGGACUGGGAAUACCUGGCGUCCUGCCCCACACCGGUGCUGCUGGCUGUGGUUGCAGGAGUUUUUGCACCCAGGGGCUGUGGGCUGUGCUGUCACCGUCAGCCUGGCGGGUGCUCCCAGUCCAUCACACCUCGCACGCCGCCCGGCUGCUUCUCCUCCUGCAGCCAUGGGUAUUUCAGCGGAUGGUUUUUGUUCACCAUUUGUUUCCCUUCCGUAGUUUCUCCACUUUUACCCACAAUGGAGCACGGCGGGGCGGCAGCGGCAGCAGGAGAGAGCAAGGAGCUGCUUCUCCUUCCCAUCCCGUGUGGGACCACAUGCCACUCUGCAAUUUGAACAAACUCCAGUCAUGGUUUUUAAGUCCUUUUCGUGUUUUAUGCAAGUGGGCAGCACUUGCCAGGCUUGUAGGAGAGAUGGCCCAUGUAACGCAGAGGCUCCUGCGUGCGGGCCAUGUGGUUGGGCAGGUCUGCUUUGUACCUUCUGUCGGUGAAGCCUGGGAUGCUCAGCAGCUUUGGGGAAAAAAUAAUGCAUAUUUGAGCGUGGUCCUGGAACUUCUUCGAUGUCAUUUGCCCUCCCUGACACAGUGCAGAGCCUGGGACCGUGCAGUGGGACAUCGCAUCCCCUUGAUCAGGUCGGGCUGUGCCUCCCACCCAUUCCUGAAGCCCCUGCAGAGAGGCCAGGGUGUUCAGGGCUUCUGAGGAAACAUCCAGGAUUUUCCAGGAAAAGGACAGGGUUUCUGGUUCCUCUCUCUGCCCCAGGAACCACCAGAUGGGGCUGGGCACUGGGGAAAUCCGGCCACCUGGGAUUUUCCAGCUUGAGGAAGGAUGCAGCUUGCACCUGAACCUCCAGCCCUGGGAGUGGGGCGGUGUGGGCCAGGCCCUGCUUUGGCUUGGUGGCCACCUGAGUUUUUCCUGGAGGUGUCUCAGUUUCCCUCUCUGCCACCGAGAAGGCGAUGGGACGGUGCCGGUGCCAGUGGGGCCGCAGCAGGGUCGGCGAGGCGUGGGAGCCCAGCAGCCUGUGGCUGCCAAGGAGGAGUGUGCCUGUGUGUUCUUCACCUGAGUAAUCAAAAUCUUUAUCCAGUGUUUGAUUAAAGGCCACAAAACAUAU